UAGUCCACGCCGUAAACGAUGUCUACUAGCCGUUGGGAGACUUGAUUUCUUAGUGGCGCAGCUAACGCACUAAGUAGACCGCCUGGGGAGUACGGCCGCAAGGUUAAGACUCAAAUGAAUUGACGGGGGCCCGCACAAGCGGUGGAGCAUGUGGUUUAAUUCGAUGCAACGCGAAGAACCUUACCAGGUCUUGACAUCCUGCGAAUUUUCUAGAGAUAGAUUAGUGCCUUCGGAGCCGAUAGUGAGGUGCUGCAUGGUUGUCGUCAGCUCGUGCCGUGAGGUGUUGGGUUAAGUCCCGCAACGAGCGCAACCCCUAUCCUUAGUUGCCAGCACAUAAUGGUGGGGACUCUAAGGAGACUGCCGGCGUAAGCCGCGAGGAAGGUGGGGAUGACGUCAAAUCAUCAUGGCCUUUAUGCCCAGGGCGACACACGUGCUACAAUGGCGAGUACAGAGGGUAGCGAAGCCGCGAGGUGGAGCCAAUCUCAGAAAGCUCGUCCC
rnacentral:rRNA from 1 species